GAUCCCAUGGAGAGUCCUCUGUGGAUCUUGGGGGUGUCCGCAGACUCUGUGCCAAAGGUGCCCCGGUGCUGGCGCCGACCGGAAGGUCGGGAAUACAUUUCUAAUCACCCAGAAGUUGCCUGAUGUCCCUGCCAAGUCCACAUCCACACUUUCCCAGCCAGAGGUAUCUGUUCCACUUCCUUCCUUGUCCCCUCAAAGAUCUUGGCUAACAUAAGACAUCAAGGCAACACCUUCUUUGUAGAUGGAAGAGCUGCGUUGAUCUUGAGAAAACUACUCUCUGUGCUUCCGUGUCUCGAAGAAGUCAUCUCUAGUUGAGAGGGCCAAUAUGGCAGAUGCCAGUCACCUGUGGCCAGAGCGCUCGGAAUGUGAGACCAGAUUUUAGCUUAAUUUUAAUUAUUUAACAUUUAAAUUCAAAUUGCUGUGACUAAUGGCUGUGAUAUAGAAUCCACCACUAGAGGACAGCACUGGGUGGCUUCAAGCCACAUAUAUACACAACCUC